AACGAACGCUGGCGGCAGGCUUAACACAUGCGAGUCGAGCGCCCCGCAAGGGGGGCGGCAGACGGGUGAGUAACGCGUGGGAAUCUACCCAUCUCUACGGAAUAACGCAUGGAAACGUGUGCUAAUACCGUAUACGUCCUUCGGGAGAAAGAUUUAUCGGAGAUGGAUGAGCCCGCGUUGGAUUAGCUAGUUGGUGGGGUAAAGGCCUACCAAGGCGACGAUCCAUAGCUGGUCUGAGAGGAUGAUCAGCCACACUGGGACUGAGACACGGCCCAGACUCCUACGGGAGGCAGCAGUGGGGAAUAUUGGACAAUGGGCGCAAGCCUGAUCCAGCCAUGCCGCGUGAGUGAUGAAGGCCCUAGGGUUGUAAAGCUCUUUCACCGGUGAAGAUAAUGACGGUAACCGGAGAAGAAGCCCCGGCUAACUUCGUGCCAGCCGCCGCAGUAAAAC
rnacentral:rRNA from 1 species